GGACUACUGGGGUAUCUAAUCCCGUUUGCUCCCCUAGCUUUCGCGCACUCAGCGUCAGUGUCGGUCCAGAAAGCCGCCUUCGCCACUGGUGUUCCUCCGGAUAUCUACGCAUUUCACCGCUACACCCGGAAUUCCGCUUUCCUCUCCCGAACUCAAGCCUCGCAGUAUCCCGUGCAGAUCCUCAGUUAAGCCGAGGGCUUUCACACGAGACUUACAAGGCCGCCUACGCGCCCUUUACGCCCAGUAAUUCCGAACAACGCUUGCCACCUCUGUAUUACCGCGGCGGCUGGCAC
rnacentral:rRNA from 1 species